AAUAUUUUUAUUUUAUAGUUUACAAUUGUUAUUAAAUAACGUCUUGUCAAACUCGUCCCGCCAAAUCCGUCCCGUAAAAAACCCGCGGUACACCGCUAAUUUAAAUAUAUAAUUAAAAUAAAUAUUUUACGGGAUUGCAAUUGUAUUUUGGUUUGUCAAACAAAUAUUUGUUUUAAAUAGUUGCCAAAAUCUAGCUCAAAUUUUGGAGAAAUAAGAUUUAUUGUAUAGAUAAAGAAUGUAUUUAGGUGUGUUUUGCUCAUUUUAAGGGAUUGCAAUUGUAUUUUGGUUUGUCAAACAUUUUUUGUUUUAAAUAGUUGCUGAAAUCUAGUUCAGAUUUUGGAGAAAUCUGCAUGACAUAUGAGAUUAGAAUAUAUUUGGAAUAUUUUUCGUUUGUUAAUUAAUUUAUUACCAA
rnacentral:sRNA from 1 species